GCCUGUUUGGCUCAGUGAAUAGAGCAUCAGCCUGCAGACUGAAGGGUUUCUGGUUUGAUUCCAGUCAAGGGCA
rnacentral:tRNA from 1 species